AUGAAGAAGAUCUUGUUCAGCAUGUUCUAUUCGAUACUGGUAGGAGAAGAACCCGACUCGGUAUUCUUAAAAAAAGAGGGGAAGCAGAACCAAGUCAAGAUGAUAUGGGGGAAUUUAGGGAACCCUGCGGACUUGACUCUUUUAAGAGGAAGAAAUCAAAGUGAAAUAUCUAGAAUAUACUUUACACUCCAUUUUCACACAGGCAUGCCCCCCUACCUUGUCCAAAGAUGCCAGGCCGAGACAGAAACCCAACUAGUGAAAUAG
rnacentral:rRNA from 1 species